CAGCCCUCAGUAAAAAUAUCCAUGAAUCUGUCAGUGCUCAGAUCCGUAAGAACUUUGCAAAAAGCAAAUGGAGACAAGCAUUUAAUGCCACGGCAGUGGUGAGGCACAUGAGACGGUUACAUCUCGGCAGCAGUUUAGACAGUUCAAACGUCAGCGUGUCAAGCGCCCUCAGUCUGGCCAGACCACACCCCGAGGGAACAGCCAGGAAAGACUGUAUGUCCCCGUCCACGCCCUGUAGUUUUGCAUCAACCGCUUCAUCUGCCAUCUCUGCUGUAGGAGAGAGGAGAACAAGGCAGACCACAGUCACAACGGU